CCUACGAGUGGCUGCAGUGGGGGAUAUUGCACAAUGGGGGGAACCCUGAUGCAGCGACGCCGCGUGGGUGAAGAAGCGCCUCGGCGCGUAAAGCCCUGUCAGCAGGGAAGAAAAUGACGGUACCUGAAGAAGAAGCCCCGGCUAACUACGUGCCAGCAGCCGCGGUAAUACGUAGGGGGCAAGGGUUAUCCGGAUUUACUGGGUGGAAAGGGGGCGCAGACGGCGAUGCAAGCCAGGAGUGAAAGCCCGGGGCCCAACCCCGGGACUGCUCGUGGAACUGCGUGGCUGGAGUGCAGGAGGGGCAGGCGGAAUGCCUGGUGUAGCGGUGAAAUGCGUAGAUAUCAGGAGGAACACCGGUGGCGAAGGCGGCCUGCUGGACUGCAACUGACGUUGAGGCCCGAAAGCGUGGGGAGCAAACAGGAUUAGAUACCCCAGUAGUC
rnacentral:rRNA from 1 species